AGUGAACGCUGGCGGCGUGCUUAACACAUGCAAGACGAACGAGAACGGGCUAUAGCUUGCUAUAGUUGUCAGCUAAGUGGCGCACGGGUGAGUAAUGUAUAGGUAAUAUGCCUCUUACUAAGGGAUAACAAAUGGAAACGUUUGCUAAUACCUUAUACUCCUUAUUAACAGAAGUUAAUAAGGGAAAGAUUUAUUGGUAAGAGAUUAGCCUGUAUUGUAUCAGUUAGUUGGUGGGGUAAUGGCUUACCAAGACUAUGACACAUAACUGGUUUGAGAGGAUGAUCAGUCACACUGGAACUGAGACACGGUCCAGACUCCUACGGGAGGCAGCAGUGGGGAAUAUUGCACAAUGGACGAAAGUCUGAUGCAGCAACGCCGCGUGGAGGAUGACACAUUUCGGUGCGUAAACUCCUUUUAUAUGAGAAGAUAAUGACGGUAUUAUAUGAAUAAGCACCGGCUAACUCCGUGCCAGCCGCCGCCGUAA
rnacentral:rRNA from 1 species